CCUACUCAGAGUCUUGUACCAUGUUAGUGCAGAGCUGAGUCUAACAUCCUGGUCUCUUGAAGUAUCACAUAUUCUGCCACCCCUCCUUCCAUCCUCUUAAGCAGUUCUUAAGGUUUAGGAAACUUGGCCUCUAUAAAACUGAGAUCCCUAGAAAUUUAGCACUCUUAACUUAGCAGAACAUUUUUCUUUAGUUCUAUACUAUACCUUGUUCUAAAACCUCACAAAAGAGUACCUUGAAAAUGUCCAGUCUAGUUGGGAAUACUAUAUGGGAAGUAGUAGGUUCUCAAGCUGUAGAGUCUGUAAUGACUUCACAUGCUUUUGAUCUCCAGCACUUCAAAAUAAAUAAAUCUCUGUGCCAAUGCCAUAAGAUUGUAAUUUGUGCAGUGGAUAUAACAAUACAAUAAUAUAAUAAAUAUAAUAGUAGUUGUCUUAUACAUUAAGGCCCCAGGUUCAAUUCCUAGCCUUACAAGAAACAAAAAGAUUUGAAUAUGUUCAGGCCCAAUGAUACCUAAAAGGAUUACAUAUAGAGAAGAUGAUUUUAG